UACGUAGGGGGCAAGCGUUAUCCGGAUUUACUGGGUGUAAAGGGAGCGUAGACGGUGAUGCAAGUCAGAAGUGAAAGCCCGGGGCUCAACUCCGGGACUGCUUUUGAAACUGUAUUUCUUGAGUGCUGGAGAGGCAAUCGGAAUUCCGUGUGUAGCGGUGAAAUGCGUAGAUAUACGGAGGAACACCAGUGGCGAAGGCGGAUUGCUGGACAGUAACUGACGCUGAGGCGCGAAAGCGUGGGGAGCAAACAGG
rnacentral:rRNA from 1 species